rnacentral:rRNA from 1 species
UACGUAGGGUGCGAGCGUUAAUCGGAAUGACUGGGCGUAAAGGGCGCGUAGGCGGUUUUUUAAGUGAGGCGUGAAAGCCCUGGGCUUAACCCAGGAGGUGCGUUUCAUACUGGAAGACUUGAGUACGAGAGAGGUAAGUGGAAUUCCUAGUGUAGAGGUGAAAUUCGUAGAUAUUAGGAAGAACACCAGUGGCGAAGGCGGCUUACUGGCUCGUAACUGACGCUGAGGCGCGAAAGCGUGGGGAGCAAACAGG